CACCGAACCAAACCUUCUUUCUCUCUCUCUCUCUCUCUCUCUCUCUCUCUCUCUCCAUAAACAUAAUCAUAAAACAAACAUUGGGAAACCUAAUAAAAAAAAGUAAAUUACUAGUAAGGGAAAAUAGGAGAGGGCAGCAGCAAGAAAGGGAAAUACAGUUUCUCAAAGUAAAAGGGCGAGGGAAAGGCACUCAAACUCAAACUGAUGAGAUGGUAAAAGCGCACAACAACUCUGUUCCUUGCUGCUGUUGCUGCUGAAUCCUCAUCCUCAUCAUUUCAGAAAGAUUCACAGCUGUAUCUCAAAGCCAAGUCUGAGCGUCUUACUUUGCAAGUUGAGAUCCUCCCAGGACAGCACAAAGCGAGCGAACCAGAUCGGGGGAAUUGUGGCUUACGUUCUCCAUCGCAUUGAUUGCCUCUAGUUGCUAUAGUUGUAUAAAACCAGCAUUGGUCAAGCAUUGGGGAUUUUGAGAGAUUUUGAGUUUUAGGCUGAAAAUUACGUCUGUUCUGUGCGGUGCUGUGCUGUGAUUUGAUCUAGGGGAGGGGACCAACGCAUCAGUAAAUGAAUUUUGAUGUUCCUGAAGCAGAUCGGCUAAGACUAGUACUGUCACAGGGUUUUAUUCAUUUGCCGGAUCGCUCUUCAACAAGUUGCGUUAUGGAUAUUAAAACUAGAAAAGUUUCUGGUGCCCAUACGCCAGAGCCCUCCCCAACGGAUCAUGGACAGAAAGUGCAGUAUUAUCAUCAGAUCCAGAGACAAGGAAAGGCAACAGAAUACCGGCGAACCUUAUCUCACGGUAGAGGGACUGGCAGAAGACUGCUGCCGGCCAGCUACUUUAGCUUGGAGUCGUUGCUUUUGCUUGUAUGCCUCACAGCGACUCUGCUGAUCCUUCCUUUGGUACUUCCGCCACUACCUCCCCCGCCUUUGAUGCUGCUGUUGCUUCCCAUUGGCAUUUUAGCCGUGCUUAUGAUCUUGGCUUUCAUGCCGUCUAAUGUGAGGGAUUUGACUUAUACAUACGUCUAGCAAAGUAAAAUGAAUGAAUGCUUGCGUUGCGUUGUCUCCACGACACUUAAGAUGUUAACUUUUAUCAUACAAUUUUUGUACUACUAAAAUGUUCAAUACAAGAAACAACACUCUUUUGUUUUUA